UAUAGUAAGCAGCAAACAAAUGUUAGUAUAGUUGUUGGUGGCUCUGCAAAAUUUAAGAGUAGAGAUUAUCUGAAGUGUACGUGCUGACCUCAGUGUAGGCUCAGCCCUGCCCACUUCACUCAUGAUCGUAACCCUAGAGACAGCUCAGUGCAUCCCCCACAGUCACAAAGGCCUUGCUCUGUCCACUGCCACCCAGUGAGAAGCCCCUCACACACAGCUGUCACCAGGACAGCAAUUGCCGCCCAGUCAUACAAGGCAAAGUUUCAGGGCUGAGAAUGCUCUGUGGGGCCGACCAAUGAGAGAUAUGAUGCUGGAAAGAACCAGCAGAUAAAUGGUUUACCCCUAGUCCUCCUAUAAUGGUUGUUUUGAGAUGCAGCAUAUGGCCUCUCAGAUGUCCCAUCAGACAAAGCAGUCAGCUGUGCCUUCUGCGACGCUGUGGUCGGCCUGGUAAAGUUUAAUCUCCUUCCCUUGGAAUCUAAGCCAGCCUUAGCUACUUACUUGACCAACAAAAGGCCAUAGAAGUGAACCUUGCAUCUUCUGACUUGAUCUUUGGUAGCACUUGCUUUUAAAGCCCUGAGCUGCCAUGUGAGAAGCCCAGCUACCCUGAGACCACCCUGCUGUGAAGAAGCCCAAACCAGCCACGAGGAAAAAAAGGAAAGCAAUCCUGACCACCAGCUGUUCCAGCCACCUCACUGCAGGAGUCAGGCAUGUAAAUGAACUUAUCUGGGAUGCUCCAGGCCAGACCAGCUAUCCCCAGCCCCUCGUUGAUGCCAUGUGGAACCAAAAAAGCCAACCAGCUGAACCCUGCCUGAAUUCCAUAGCUCAUGAAAAUCACGUGAUAUAAUAAAAUGGUUCUUCUGUUAAGCUGCUAAAUUUUAGUCUAGCAACAAAAGAUGGUGGAAGGACAUCUGAAUCACAUGGUGCACUCAUGACAUGACUGCUUUCUAGAGAACUAUUCCAUGAAUCAAAUGUGUUUGCCUAUUUACUUGCACAAUAAACGCUUAUUCAGCACUA